GCCAUCAUUUAAAGAAAGCGUAAUAGCUCACUGGUCGAGUCGGCCUGCGCGGAAGAUGUAACGGGGCUAAACCAUGCACCGAAGCUGCGGCAGCGACACGUAAGUGUUGUUGGGUAGGGGAGCGUUCUGUAAGCCUGCGAAGGUGUGCUGUGAGGCAUGCUGGAGGUAUCAGAAGUGCGAAUGCUGACAUAAGUAACGAUAAAGCGGGUGAAAAACCCGCUCGCCGGAAGACCAAGGGUUCCUGUCCAACGUUAAUCGGGGCAGGGUGAGUCGACCCCUAAGGCGAGGCCGAAAGGCGUAGUCGAUGGGAAACGGGUUAAUAUUCCCGUACUCGGUGUUACUGCGAAGGGGGGACGGAGAAGGCUAGACCAGCCGGGCGACGGUUGUCCCGGUUCAAGCGUGUAGGUGGGAAGAAUUGGUAAAUCCGUUCUUCUGUCAACACUGAGGCGUGAUAACGAGGCACUACGGUGCUGAAGUGGUUGAUGCCCUGCUUCCAGGAAAAGCCUCUAAGCAUCAGGUAACAGUGAAUCGUACCCCAAACCGACACAGGUGGUCAGGUAGAGAAUACUCAGGCGCUUGAGAGAACUCGGGUGAAGGAACUAGGCAAAAUGGUGCCGUAACUUCGGGAGAAGGCACGCUGGCGCUAGGUGACGGGACUUGCUCCCCGAGCCGAAGCCAGUCGCAGAUACCAGCUGGCUGCAACUGUUUAAUAAAAACACAGCACUGUGCAAACACGAAAGUGGACGUAUACGGUGUGACGCCUGCCCGGUGCUGGAAGGUUAAUUGAUGGGGUUAGCGGCAACGCGAAGCUCUUGAUCGAAGCCCCAGUAAACGGCGGC
rnacentral:rRNA from 1 species